rnacentral:snRNA from 1 species
AGAGGAGGGUAGUCUAAUUGUGACAUCUGUCACCACAAUGAUCACCAGGGGUGAUAUGGUUGAUCUGGGUAGGUGAGUGUCCCCUUCCUCCCUUACCAGUCCAUGUGCAGCCCUUCUGGAAGCUGUACAUCCAGUCAAAGAGGAUGCUCUCCCCGGACAGAGAAGGACCAGUCUUCAGUCACGGGUUUACAAGAAGCUAUGCUCCUCUGCUAACGAGCUAUCAGACUUCAAACAAGCUACCCUUCAAACAAGCUAUCAAGAAAUGAUCAAAGAAUUGGAUAGUAGUGUUGGGUGAUGCUGCCUGGCAAAUCUGUUGAUGUUC